rnacentral:rRNA from 1 species
AACCUGCGGAAGGACAUUG